GCUGGGCAUGGUGGCUCAUGCCUGUAAUCCCAUGGCUGGGGAGGCUGAGGCAGGAGGACUUCUAGUUCAAAGCCAGCCUCAG
rnacentral:sRNA from 1 species